AAAGGCAAGCAACAGCUGCGCUUGUUCUGCCGUUUCUUUAGCCAGGGACUGGAACACAGACAAAAUCAAGGGGCUCUUUGACCUGUGCAGGCUCCGAGCAUUUUUCAGCCUUCCCUAGCAGGGCAUUCUCACCCUCUGAAAAGCUGAAAGGCUUUAACAGCUGGAGACGCGCCUGCAGCUGUGCAGAUUAAUGUAGUUUCUUUGAGGAAACGAAGGGGAAGUUUUCCUGUUGUGAGCCUAAAUACCGAGUCUACUCUGCUUUUUCAAUCAGGUGACGAAGCUUAUGGAAAAAAAGACCAAAGGCCUCGAGGGAUGUUCUUCUUGAUCCCCCGGGGCAAAGGGAGGUGUCAGCGUCAGGAGCCAUCCUAACUGGGGCCCUGGUAGGCUCCCUGUUUUCCUUCGGUCGCCGUGGGUGUGCCGGACGCCUCUGGCAGGACUAACCCUGUGGCUUUUAUGUCCAACGUGCUGUGCUGUGUGUGCCUGCAGGUAAGAAAAGCUGGGAGUGCAGUCCCUC